GUUCUCUGACAGGUAUUUAAUGUAAAGUACACAGACACACUUUGAAAAGGAGACUGAAAUCCAAGGCUAUUCCCCUCCCUUCCCCAUGGCAAUGUUAUUAUUGCUAGGUCAUGGCCUCUCCUUGAUUGCUCCCGUGAAUCCUGAAUCCCCACCCUCUCCCCUAGGCAGCAGUACGGGUUCAACAGGCUGGUUGAAAAUGGAGUGCGUGUUAGGCUAGCCUACCUCCCUGGUAAGAUAUUCUUCUGGAAGGUCAGAGGGAGGCAUCUGAACCCUAUCAAGCAGAACGAGGAGAAGCUGACCUUGUUUCUCCUGGCGUGGGGGGCACUGCAAGGCACACAGGGGGAAGGAAGUGUCCCCCACGGGAAUUGAGAAAGGGUUCAGAGGGGCUGGUGAAGUGUUAAGCAAAAGCAGUCAGCGGCUUAGCACAUGGUGGGGAAGUCGAUUAUAAGCACUUGCAGCUGGUUCUCUCUCUCUCACACCCUGGAGGAACUGGGUGUCUGCUGACUCAGGAGCUGCAUCAAGUCAGAGGAAUGGGAAGGGGGUCAUAUUUCUUGAGUGCCUGUGGCACGCUGCAGAGCGAUGGGAUAGCGACGGGCACCUCCUACUUGCUGUCCCGUCUUGGAAGAGUGAUCACAGCAGCGUGCUGUGAGAAGCUGGAGCCCGUUGAUUACUGGAUGUUUCAAUCUGCUGAAAAGAAGGGGCUGUCCCUGAACCAAUGAAACAAUGAGAGGGCAGGGAGAGUGACAAGCUGUGGGGCAAUCUUUGCUCUCAGGGCCUGGGCACUUUCCUUUCGCUGGUUCAGCAGAGACCAACAAGAAGAGGCUGAGUCUGAGGAGUUAACCAUGCAUGGCUCGAGCCACCUGGCAAUGAGCUCUGCAGGCAUAGGAGGCAACCUUUCUGCCUUUAUCGUGAACCUGAGAGCAAUAUAACCGUCUGGCUAGUUAUAAUUUAACAGAAACCCCGUUUUUAAUCUUGCUGUGGUGGUGUGCUUUCUUUUAAAUGUCGUCUGUAAAGUCUCCCAGUGAGCGGAGAAGUUUUGCUUUGUAUUUCUUACAGAUACUGACAAAAACUAGUCCACUAGGUUACCAUAAACCUAGCCAUAUUCUUUCUUAGAGGCAUAAGCAAGCUGAAAAGGGUUUGCAGUAACUUUUAUACUUCAAUCAAAGUAUUUUUCAGUAUAUAUUUUUCAUUUUUAACCAGUAGACUAAUUGACUGGUUAUUUUAUUAAUGUUGAAAUCUUACAUUUUUAGAAGAGAUAUUAAGCAAGUAAAUUAACCUUCAGUUUUCCCGUGGCACUGAAGCUUGUUCAUCACCAUUGUGCUUUCAGUCAUUCUUUAAACCCUUGGUAAUCGAUAGUGGUAAUUUCAAAUAAGUUCAGAUGUUUUGUUCAAAAUAAACUGAGUAUGCAUGCAUCUUCUGAAUCAGCACCUUAACGUGACCUCUCCUGUCUGCUCAAAUUAUUAGCAUCAAAUAAAGUUCUUCAGACAAAACGAAGCUAGUUGAACGAAUGCA